rnacentral:lncRNA from 1 species
CAAUCUCAUCCAUGUAAGCUCGAAGAUCAAUAACCCAAGGGUCUCUGAAAGACUCGGUCCCCUCCCAUAUCCUAAGCCAACUACCAAUUUGGGGAAGAGGAAACAAGUCCUAGAGAAACACGAAGGUAUAGGGGACUCAAAGAUGUUCCAACAAACAUACCUUGGAAGUCAGUACGGUGAGUCCAGGGAAAAAUCACAUGCUCUUGAUCAAACCUUACUACUUACAAUAGGAGAUGGAGAUUUACGAAAGAAAGCUUCAAUGGUACACGACUCCACUCAGGACUCUCUUGCUCUCUUGUCCUACAACUCCUUAAGGAAGUAAACAAGUUGAAGGCCAAACGACAAGCUGCGAUACUUGAUUGGAACUAACCUAGGCCUGGCCCUCUUACAAAGAUAAUCCUCAACACCCCCUCCAAGCAAAGACAAAGCAGAAGCUUGGCUUGCAACUCUAUACUAGAAAAGAGGACCCGAUUGAACACCUUAACCUCUUUGAGU